UACAACAUCAGGGUAGGCGACAUCUAACGUAUAUAGCUAUGGGCGCUAACUAGUAUUCACGUCGUAUCAUGCUUAACUCUUUUUCUCCUUUUACGCACUUUGAAAGUCUAUUGUGAGUUACACAAUGCAGCAUUUAGCUCGCUCGUAAACAUCGCUUAUGUCCUCAGGUCACUGUCUGAGCAGAAGUUUCAUCAUUAGCCCUGACUGUCAGAUGCUCUUCAUCUCAGGAGCUGUAUUUUUAAAUGCUUGAUAACAGAUAUAAGCGAGAAGAGGCUGAAUCCGAAGCCUGAGAAGAAGCAGAGAAACAGAGGAUCGAACGAGAGAAACACUUCCAGAAAGAGGAGCUGGAACACUAGGAAAGAAAGAAGGUAAAGGUUUCACCAUGUUCCACUUGUCUGUAGCUCAUUGUCAUCCUCUCGCUCUGUGAUAAUGCUACACGUGGUGUUG